rnacentral:rRNA from 1 species
UCCUACGGGAGGCAGCAGUGGGGAAUAUUGGACAAUGGGCGAAAGCCUGAUCCAGCAAUGCCGCGUGGGUGAAGAAGGUCUUCGGAUUGUAAAGCUCUUUCGGACGGAAAGAAAUCGCGCAGGCUAAUACCCUGCGCGGAUGACGGUACCGUCAUAAGAAGCACCGGCUAACUACGUGCCAGCAGCCGCGGUAAUA